GGACCAUUGGCCUGUUCCAGCUGAUAAACGUUCAUCAAGGUGUACUGGAGUUGCAUUAAGUGUUGCUGCUAGUCUCUUGGGGGUUUGUGUUCCUGGAUCAGGUGCUAGAAUUAUGGCAUUUGUAGGUGGUCCAUCUACAGAGGGACCUGGUUCUGUAAGUCAAAGUUCUUUUUUUAACAUGUUGAGCUUCAUUCCCACUGAUGCUAUAAUGUAGAUGUUAGGAUGGCCAGGUCGUGUUGGCACUCCCAGGGGGAAGGGAGAAAGCUAAGAUUGGAAUCACUGUUUCUUCUUGUUUAGUUACAACAGUGGCAUAUGAUUCCUUCUAUAGAGGCUCAUCUAACAUAUACUGAUUAAUCAUUCCAUAAUAUGGCAAGCAAGAGCUCUGUACUUUAAUAUGGUUCGAAAGUAGGUAUGGGAUUUCGUAUGAGUAACACAAAUGUUUAUCACUGCCAUCAGAGCAAACUAACACUAAGUUUGUGACCGACACAAAUAUAGCAAAUCAUGUAGCAGCUGUCAUGAGUUAAUGUUUUUGCGAUUCUCAUUCACCUAAGGCACCAUUUGGAUUUGGGGGAAUGGGGUUGGGAAAUGUGAUAUGAGGGGUAGGUUAAAUUUAAUCCAUUGUUUGUAUAUUGGGUUUGGAAAUGAUUAUUUCUUUAUGUUGACGUUAAUUACUUCCUGGCAAAUCUUGCAAAUGAGAGGUCAAAUAUAUGAUAAGCUUUUCUGAUAUGCUUGGUGAUCUCUAGGUUUUCUAGGAAGUUUGCUUCUCUCAUGGUCUUUUUCUUUACCAUGCAGGCUUAUAGAGUAUUUUGCCUUUUGUAGGUCAGUUUGAGUGCAUUUGCAUUCUUGUUCUCUGAGUUGGUUCAGUACAACCAGACUCAAGUUGACAACAUUACUGAGCUGGAACGGAGGUAUCUCUAUUGUGUAUUUGUACCUGUCUCAUAUUGUUUGAUGAAUUUGUAUUUAGGUUGAUUGAUUAUUUUCUAUCAUGUGCCUUUGUUUAUCUUAUUGCACAUGCUACUAACUUAUACCCAGAUCAGAUAAACUCUUUCAGUAAAUUAAUUUAUAAAUUCAUCUGGGCUACACCUGUUUGUUUUAUUUCAUGCACAGGCUGGAGGAUGCUGGUUAUGCGGUUGGUGCAAGGGUGCUUGAACUACUCUGUCACACGGAGAAGGUUUGAUACCUGUUUGUUUGCUUGGUUAUAUAAUGAUCAUUAUAAAAUACUGUAACAAUUUUGAUGCUCUAUUUUUGCAAAUAAUAUUUUAUAGUCAUAUUUCCAUUUGCAAAAAUAAUUUUGCUUGGAUAAUUCUUUCUAGCUCAGAAAUCUGAUAUAUAUCAUAUAUGUGUAAAGAGCUGUUUUAAAAUUUUUAUUUUGAAUAGCUGCACCCCCAGUCUAAAAUUUUACAAUUAAUAUUAGUUACUUUGAAACAAAAUGAUGUGUAUAAAUACACAGUUUUCAAAAUACACAGUUUUGUAUGUGCUUCAAGAACGUGUAACUCCAAUUGACAUGUUUUCAGUUGUCUAACUCACCUUGUUUUAUGGUUGUGGAUUGGCCAGGAAACGCAAAGGCGAGGGCGACUCCAGGACCUGUAAAAACGCCGGAUUGACGGCUUCAAGGACGGUCGCAGGGCUGAGGUGGGCAACGCAGGUCGGGCUCGUGCGUCGGACGACGGCGUCGGGCGAGGGCGAGGUCAAGGCGCAGAUCGGCGAGGGCGUCGGGGGCGACUCUCCAGACCAGGCAAUGCGGGCGUCGGGCAUCGGAGGCGAGGGCGACGGUGUCGGGGGCGAGGACGAGGGCGACUCUCCAGACCUGGCAACGCAGGUCGGCGUCGGGGGCGAGGGCGACGGCGUCGGGGGCGGGUCGGGCGUCGAAGGCGAGGGCGACGGUGUCGGGGCCGAGGGCGACUCUCCAGACCUGGCAACGCAGGUCGGCCGUCGGGCGUCGGGGGCGAGUGCGAGGGCGGCGAGGACCCAGGACGAUCGAGGGAGAGGGGCGACGUCGGGCGAGGGCGAGGGCGUCGGGCGUCGGGCGAGGAUUGGUACCGUGCGCGAUUCCUUCCUUUAGAGCGUGCGAUUAAUUUUGUUUUCUUUACAGGACUGAGAUUUUAUAUCAGGAAUUCUUUUUUUUUCUUUAUUUCAUUUCAC
rnacentral:lncRNA from 1 species